rnacentral:rRNA from 1 species
UACGAAGGGGGCUAGCGUUGUUCGGAAUUACUGGGCGUAAAGCGUGCGCAGGCGGCUAUCCAAGUCAGUGGUGAAAGCCCGGAGCUCAACUCCGGAAUUGCCAUUGAAACUGUUUAGCUUGAGUACGAGAGAGGUGAGUGGAAUACCCAGUGUAGAGGUGAAAUUCGUAGAUAUUGGGAAGAACACCGGUGGCGAAAGCGCCUUGCUGGGUCUGCACUGACACUGAGGGACGAAAGCUAGGGGAGCGAAAGGG